GAUGAACGCUGGCGGUGUGCCUAAUACAUGCAAGUCGAGCGAACAGACGAGGAGCUUACUCCUCUGACGUUAGCGGCGGACGGGUGAGUAACACGUGGAUAACCUACCUAUAAGACUGGGAUAACUUCGGGAAACCGGAGCUAAUACCGGAUAACAUGUUGAACCGCAUGGUUCAACAGUGAAAGACGGUCUUGCUGUCACUUAUAGAUGGAUCCGCGUCGCAUUAGCUAGUUGGUAAGGUAACGGCUUACCAAGGCAACGAUGCGUAGCCGACCUGAGAGGGUGGUCGGCCACACUGGAACGUGGACACGGUCCAGACUCCUACGGGAGGCAGCAGUAGGGAAUCUUCCGCAAUGGGCGAAAGCCUGACGGAGCAACGCCGCGUGAGUGAAGAAGGUCUUCGGAUCGUAAAACUCUGUUAUUAGGGAAGAACAAAUGUGUAAGUAACUAUGCACGUCUUGACGGUACCUAAUCAGAAAGCCACGGCUAACUACGUG
rnacentral:rRNA from 1 species